UGUUGUGCUGUGUUGUACUAUUGUGGCUCCAUGUUGGGUUAUUGCUGCCGACUCUUGGUCGUUCGGAUCAGCUGACAAUACGGACGAUCUUUCCAUUGGCGGUCGUUCUUCAAGAUCAGUACCCUAUAACAGUAAAAGGCCAUUCUCUUUUCUGUUGUCAGUGUCACAGACUGUCUGCAACUGUGAAACUACCACUACUGGCUUGCGCUUCCGUUAGUGUAAAUGACGGACGACUGUAGAAUGAGUGUCUGCAUUUUGACAAUACGUAGAUGAAGCUCAUCAGACUGCUAAAUUGUAGGUGUUGUGGUGCAUCUGUAGCUUUGUCUUAUUUUUGUUGUCGGGCAUGCAAGCGUACAGGUGAUCUUCAAAGAAUAUAUCUGGAUUCGCAUACGUGAAACUGAUGUUAAUAGACCAUCAGCGUUUGUUUUUCUCCCAUAGAACGAAUCUUGCUGAAGACAAACCGUUUAAAACAGCACCUACGAGGAAAGCGGUUCCCGUCAGAGGUGCCGCAUAUUCAGCGAGUGCAUUUUAUUACUAACCGAGGGUGUCAAUAGCUUGCAACGAAUUAUGAAGACAUCAUAAAUGAGGGUACGGAUAUCUUGUACAGACAGCAAGAAGGUAAUCGUUGUUACCUCUAGGAUAUGAUCAAGUAGUGGGAUGUUGAACUUCGAAGUAUUUCUUCAGAUGGAACUAAUAAUUGUUAAUUUGUGGUGCCCGUGGUUCCAGUCGUGGCACAGAAGUAUAUAGUUGGAUCGAGGAAAGCGUUAACUGGAUAAAAGCGAUUCUUAGAUAUGCUUUCAUCGGUAUUUGGUGGUCUACUAAUUUGAGAGAAUACUGAAGUAUGAAGAAAAAGUUCUGCUAGAGCUUUGUUGUGAUCGACCUACGUUUUGGAAAAAUUUAAUGGGUUUGUGUAGUCUAUAAGACUUACUACUACCAGGCGUUUCAUGGACGGUCGGCCAGUUUCUUGAGAACCAGAAAAUUAAAAUCACAAUGAAUGAAGAUGUACCGCUUGCUGCAUUACUUAUGCCCGUCCUCAUCAAGCCAAUACUCGAAAAGCUUGAACGUAAAGAAAACGCGGCGGCGCAAAUCCUGCAGACCUCUUUGACAAGGACUGAAAAAAAUUCGCCCGGAUUUCUUCUCGAACUGGUUCGUGCACUGUUACGAGAAACUCAGAGCGAUAAAGACGUGAACAUCACGGAACAGCUUCUUAGGCUGCAGGGCACUCUGGCAGACUCGGAGCCGGAGCUUCGUGUCAAUCGACCCGAGGAGAUCUUUCAGGAACUUAACCGAAAAGCAGUUUACCUUAAAAAAGUCUUGUCGCGCGUGCCUGACCAAAUCGGCGAUCGCAAAAGCUUCCUUGACACAAUUAAGGAAAUCGCUUCAGCAAUCAAGAAACUACUCGAUGCUGUUAAUGGAGUCACUGCGCAUGCGCCGUAUAAGAAGCACGCGCUGGAGCAAAGACGGCGUGAGUUUGUUAAAUAUUCAAAACGGUUCUCGAAUACCUUAAAAGAGUACUUCAAAGAAGGCGAAGUGGAGCCUGUCUAUGUAUCGGGACUGUAUCUUAUUUAUCAGACAAAUCAGAUCGUGAUGACCACAAAACGAGACUUCGAAAGAACUAAUGUUUCAAAUGGUGGAGGACCGUCGCUUCGUGUAUGAAUUACGAGUGGUGUGGUUACUAAAAUCGAAGCUUGAACCAAAUGAAACGAAAUAACCUAUAAGAUCCAGUUUUUGACAAUGAUCAGCUAGCGUACAAAGAAACUCUCUUUGGAACGAGUGACAAAUGCGUGGGCGCAAAAGUGUUGUUGCAUCUGAAGGAAAAUGUAAUUAUGAGCCAUUAUCGAGAAGCCAUUAUAUAGUGCAAUAGCGAGGACAGAUUAGCGGCGAACAUAGGGCAACUUCAAACGACCUCGGUGCUGCUGAGCAGUGUUAUACGGAAAUACGCUUCCCAGAACAUACGAUCUGGAGUUUGCAUUCUGCCCAUACUCGGUUUCCUAAUGCGGCCGUAUCUAUAGUACCUUAUAUGUUAUUAUUUACUUUGACCUAUGUAUUUGCAUGAUUUCAGUGUUGUGAUUAUUAAGUAAUAAAGUGUUUUUAUUAUGACAUAUUUGGACCAUUUAGAGAGACCGUUUGCAGUAACAAGGUUUCGGAUAGUCAGAACUACUCUACUUAUUUAAAUUAAGAAAAAUAUAUGAAACUGGUCGUUAUAAUAACGCUAUUAUCCUACGACAGUAUACUAUGCUUAUUUCAUCUAAAUCUUAUAUAAACUUAUAGGCAUACAAUAGAAAAACUCCAUAAAUUAGCCAAUGUAGAAAUUUUCUAUUAGAGUAAAUGUCCAUUAUAUACGUUUGAAUUAGAAGGGGGUCCUCCCUGACAUUAUUAAGAAUUUAGAAGUGUUACGUCGAUUAAAAGUCUAACGCUAGAUUAAAUGGAUUAUUUAAAAGUGGAUUAUUUCUCUCGCUCAAGUGGAUUAUUUAAAAUUGCCGAAAUGUUCUCAGACCCCAAUUUGCAUAGCAUAGGAUGAAGGAAACGACAAAAACAAGACACCCUAAACUGAGUAAGGCGUUGGAGAUGGGAUUUUUCGUUCACAUAAUCUCAAAUAGUUCUUUAUUCGUCCUUCGUACAAACACUAAAAUGCGCUGCAGUGCACGCCUCUACGGACAUCACUGUCCAUUUCUUAUUUCAAGGCCUACUUAUAACUUACGCAAUAGGCUUUUAUCCUUAGCAUUUUUUUAUACCUCUUCUUCACCCUGUAUGAGUUCUAAUUUGGGCCACGAGAGCACUGGAAAUUUAUCCACACUUCACUUAUCUAGCCCUCGUCUUCCUGUAUGAUUUAGUAUAGAAAAUAGAAAUCUGCUUCGACAUCAGGUAAACGAUUGUUCUGCCUAUGAGUCAAUAUAUUUCUGUGCUAUGUAGAUAUUGACGAUUGUGGGUCGCCAAGGCUGAGUGUUAUGAUCGCGCCAAAGACUAUUCAAAAGUUACGAGACAACCAACUUCAUGCAUACAAACAAAGCCGACUGAUAUUCUGGUGUAUUAUUACCGGUUAGAACGCAAACUAUUUGGUCACCCAGUGUCAAAUAAAGACAACACCAGUUGUUACACUCUUAGUGUAAUCGAUCGAGAUUUCUUUAUGCGUUGUAGCUUUCGUGGAUUAAAUUGUUUAUGACUCCAACCAAUACAUUUCAAUUGGCACCGUGGUCACUAAAUGCCAGUGGAUUCGGGUUCUGGCUUUCAUCGUCAAAGCCAAAAAUAAAGAGUAAUAACACAAGAUGAUUCGUUUUGUUUUUACCACGUUGUAGUGGUAAAUGUGAUUUUCUCCAACAAACGUGUUAUCGUAACUCUGUGUCGGACGACAGUUCUAUGUGUCUGCGAUGUGUUUUUAUUUUUAUUUAUGGCUAUAACAAUUAGUGCAUGUCACAAAAAGCAUAUCUAUACAAACCGUGUAAAAUAAA